rnacentral:lncRNA from 1 species
UCCGCCUGCAGUGGCACGGAAGAAGAGUUUGAAAGCAGCACGGGCGGCUACUCUGCGGCUGGUAUUGAAGGUAGAGCUUGGCAAGAGAGAAUGGGAGAGCUCUACUGCCUCGAGCAUCGCAUCCAGCCCCAAUGGCAUCACACCCACUUGCCCGGGUAAGCUUCUUCUCUGUUCCAAUUCUUGCACUUGUUGGUUUUUUACUUUCAGAGCUCUGGGAAAUAUCAGAUGGUGUGUGUCUUCUUUGAUGGUACAAGUAUUUUAAACUGGCACCGUAUGAUAAUAUAUGAUUGCUAUAAUGAACAAAGGUUGUAUUUUUUAAUUGAUUGGUACGCAAUUGUUGUCUUAGCUGAUCACUUGCUCAUUUCCAUUCUUGAAAAUGCAAGAUUAUUAAUUUCCUUAUAAGGAUAUAUAAAGAUAGAGGCAAUCUUUUUAAAACUUUUCUGAAAUCUGAUAUAAAUGAAAAUGUCUGAUAUUCAAAUUAGUUAGAUUAGUUUCUGUACUCCUAGUAGUGCACCUAAAUUUGAGUACCAAUGUUUCAGGGUACUAUUUUGUUUUUUGAGAACCAAGUAAAAGACACAGUUCCAGUGUGAUCAGCUAAGAGUUUAUGUACACAACAUCGAUUCUAUUUUUCUCAAACCAUUUAUUUUAGCUUGGAUAAGUGGUGUUUUGUUGUUCUACGGACUGAAUUUGUUGACGAACAUGGCUCGUGUGUAUUAAUUCAUCAAUGUCUCUGGCUAUCCUGCAGUACAAGGCAGACCAUAGAUUCCUCCCGAUGAAGAUUGAUGUGGCGCGAUGGAGAGCUUGGUGUGUGCGGCCUGCUGAUGGCGCUCGGGCCGAUGGUGGCUUAACAACGCAUGUUCUCUUAUCGUCCUCAUGCUCUCUGCCCUUAAUUUUAUCUCUCCGAUUCUUCUUUGGUUACAUGCACAUGUGAUUGAGGCAGGACAACAGGAGCAGCAAGAAGCAUCGACAACUAUGAGCUAGCUGCUAGCAGUGCCCCCCCCCUCAUGUACAUGGAUUUGUAAUGGCCAAGGAACACUUUUGAUUCUUUCUUUAGUGUUUUCACUAUCAAUCCAUAUUUGGUGAACUUGUUCUACUGUUCACGAGCCUCCGCCUAGAACCUGUCUGAUGUCAUGCGUACGACGGACUGAGACACGUUCUAAUUUUCUGGUGAAACUCUUACCUCUAUUUAGAAAAUCCAAAUGAUGAAACAAGUGUAUUCAAGGUUGGAUCUGCACCUUAAACAUGUGUACCUGAUGUUCCAAGCU